CCUACGGGCGGCAGCAGUGAGGAAUAUUGGUCAAUGGCCGGAAGGCUGAACCAGCCAAGUCGCGUGAGGGACGACUGCCCUAUGGGUUGUAAACCUCUUUUAUAAGGGAAGAAUAAAUGCUACGUGUAGCAUGAUGCCUGUACCUUAUGAAUAAGCAUCGGCCAACUCCGUGCCAGCAGCCGGGGUAAUACGGAGGAUGCGAGCGUUAUCCGGAUUUAUUGGGUUUAAAGGGUGCGUAGGCGGGUCUUUAAGUUGGAGGUGAAACGUCGGGGCUUCACCUUGAUUUGCCGUCGGAACUGUGGGCCUUGAGUGCGGACGAGGCAUGCGGAAUGCGCGGAGUAGCGGUGAAAUGCAUAGAUAUCGCUCAGAACCCCGAUAGCGAAGGCAGCGUGCCGUGCCGCCACUGACGCUGAGGCACGAAAGCGUGGGGAGCGAACAGGAUUAGAUACCCCAGUAGUC
rnacentral:rRNA from 1 species